rnacentral:piRNA from 1 species
UGGAGAACUGGGCAGCAACUUGCAGGGUC